UGCCAGCCGCCGCGGUAAUACGGAGGGUGCAAGCGUUAUCCGGAUUUACUGGGUUUAAAGGGUGCGCAGGCGGACUGAUCAGUCAGUGGUGAAAUCCCCCGGCUUAACCGGGAAACUGCCAUUGAUACUGUCAGUCUUGAGUAUGGUAGAGGUGGGCGGAAUGUAGCAUGUAGCGGUGAAAUGCUUAGAUAUGCUACAGAACACCGAUUGCGUAGGCAGCUCACUAGACCAUUACUGACGCUCAGGCACGAAAGCGUGGGUAGCGAACAGGAUUAGAUA
rnacentral:rRNA from 1 species